rnacentral:misc_RNA from 1 species
AAAGUCGUAACAAGGUUUCCGUAGGUGAACCUGCGGAAGGAUCAUUAUUAUUUGGGUCGGGUUUACUUCUAGUAACUUGUUCAAUUGUCUGGAUCUCGAUAUUUAAGAAGUAAACUUUUACCAAAUAAUCCUAUUAAUUUCCUAAAUAGGAGCAAGAUAAACUUAUUUAAAACCCCACUCUUAAAAUGUUUAUACGUAUUUUAAAUGAUAAAAUUAAAGAUCACUUUCAACAACGGAUCUCUUGGCUCUC